GCCUUUGUGGUGCAAUGGUUAGCACACUCGCCACUUACACGACAGAUCCAGGUUCGAAUCCCGGCGAAGGCA
rnacentral:tRNA from 1 species